rnacentral:sRNA from 1 species
CUUUAAAAAUCUGGAUCAAGCUGAAAAUUGAAACAGCACACUGAACUCUGUUCUCCGUAAUAAGAACAGACUGAGGUGUGUUUGAGUCUCUCAAAUUUUUGCAGCGCGAUGAUGAAUCGUAAGAAACAUCUUCGG